rnacentral:rRNA from 1 species
UACAGAGGUCUCAAGCGUUGUUCGGAUUCAUUGGGCGUAAAGGGUGCGUAGGCGGCGCGGUAAGUCGGGUGUGAAAGUCUCGGAGCUUAACUCCGAAACUGCAUUCGAUACUGCCGUGCUUGAGGACUGGAGAGGAGACUGGAAUUUACGGUGUAAGCGGUGAAAUGCGUAGAUAUCGUAAGGAAGACCAGUGGCGAAGGCGGGUCUCUGGACAGUUCCUGACACUGAGGCACGAAGGCCAGGGGAGCGAAACGGG